AGGCAACCUGCCUGUAAGACUGGGAUAACUACCGGAAACGGUAGCUAAUACCGGAUAGCUGGUUUUCUCGCAUGAGAGAAUCAUGAAAGACGGAGCAAUCUGUCACUUAUGGAUGGGCCUGCGGCGCAUUAGCUAGUUGGUGAGGUAAUGGCUCACCAAGGCGACGAUGCGUAGCCGACCUGAGAGGGUGAACGGCCACACUGGGACUGAGACACGGCCCAGACUCCUACGGGAGGCAGCAGUAGGGAAUCUUCCGCAAUGGACGAAAGUCUGACGGAGCAACGCCGCGUGAGUGAUGAAGGUUUUCGGAUCGUAAAGCUCUGUUGCCAGGGAAGAACGUCUUAGAGAGUAACUGCUCUAAGAGUGACGGUACCUGAGAAGAAAGCCCCGGCUAACUACGUGCCAGCAGCCGCGGUAAUACGUAGGGGGCAAGCGUUGUCCGGAAUUAUUGGGCGUAAAGCGCGCGCAGGCGGCUAUGUAAGUCUGGUGUAUAACCUCGGGGCUCAACCCCGGGUCGCACUGGAAACUGUGUAGCUUGAGUACAGAAGAGGAGAGUGGAAUUCCACGU
rnacentral:rRNA from 1 species